rnacentral:rRNA from 1 species
AUUGAACGCUGGCGGCAUGCUUUACACAUGCAAGUCGAACGGCAGCGCGGGCUUCGGCCUGGCGGCGAGUGGCGAACGGGUGAGUAAUGCAUCGGAACGUGCCCCGUAGUGGGGGAUAGCCCGGCGAAAGCCGGAUUAAUACCGCAUACGACCUGAGGGUGAAAGCGGGGGACCGAAAGGCCUCGCGCUAUUGGAGCGGCCGAUGUCGGAUUUGCUAGUUGGUGGGGUAAAGGCUUACCAAGGCGCCUAUCCGGAGCUGGUCUGAGAGGACGACCAGCCACACUGGGACUGAGACACGGACCAGAGUCCUACGGGAGGCAGCAGUGGGGACUUUUGGACAAUGGGGGCAACCCUGAUCCAGCCAUGCCGCGUGCGGGAAGAAGGCCUUCGGGUUGUAAACCGCUUUUGUUAGGGAAGAACUCCUCUGGGCUAAUACCCCGGGGGGAUGACGGUACCGGAAGAAUAAGCACCGGCUAACUACGUG